GAUGAAGAACGUAGUGAAAUGCGAUAAGUAAUGUGAAUUGCAGAAUUCAGUGAAUCAUCGAAUCUUUGAACGCACAUUGCGCCCGCCAGUAUUCUGGCGGGCAUGCCUGUUCGAGCGUCAUUUCAACCCUCAGGCCCCGCCUGGCGUUGGGGAUCGGCGCGGCCCCCUCCGGGCUGCCGGCCCCGAAAACUAGUGGCGGUCUCGCUGUAGUCCUCCUCUGCGCAGUAGCAACGCUCGCACUGGAACUCGGCGCGGCCACGCCGUAAAACACCCCACUUCUGAAAGUUGACCUCGGAUCAGGUAGGAAUACCCGCUGAACUUAAGCAUAUCAAUAAGCGGAGGA
rnacentral:misc_RNA from 1 species